rnacentral:rRNA from 1 species
AAUCAACGCUGGCGGCGUGCCUAACACAUGCAAGUCGAACGCGAAAGCCCCUUCGGGGGUAAGUAGAGUGGCGUCCGGGUGAGUAACACGUAGGUAAUCUACCUUCGGGUGGGGAAUAACUCGCCGAAAGGCGAGCUAAUACCGCAUAAUGCAGCGGCACCUAAUGGUGAUUAGUUGUUAAAGCGGGGGGAGUCGUAAGACCUCGCGCCUGAAGAGGAGCCUGCGACAGAUUAGCUAG